rnacentral:tRNA from 1 species
AGGUAGUGUAACGGUAACACACCGGGCUCUGAACCCGUUAAUCUAGGUUCGAAUCCUAGCCUCCCAGCCA